GGACGAACGCUGGCGGCGUGCCUAACACAUGCAAGUCGAGCGAGGAGAUCCUCGGGAUGAUCCUAGCGGCGGACGGGUGAGUAACACGUGGGCAACCUGCCUCAUAGAGAGGAAUAGCCUUCCGAAAGGGAGAUUAAUACCUCAUAACAUUGCAGUUUCGCAUGGAACAGCAAUUAAAGGAGUAAUCCGCUAUGAGAUGGGCCCGCGGCGCAUUAGCUAGUUGGUGAGGUAAUGGCUCACCAAGGCGACGAUGCGUAGCCGACCUGAGAGGGUGAUCGGCCACAUUGGGACUGAGACACGGCCCAGACUCCUACGGGAGGCAGCAGUGGGGAAUAUUGCACAAUGGGGGAAACCCUGAUGCAAGCAACGCCGCGUGAGUGAUGACGGCCUUCGGGUUGUAAAGCUCUGUCUUCAGGGACGAUAAUGACGGUACCUGAGGAGGAAGCCACGGCUAACUACGUGCCAGCAGCCGC
rnacentral:rRNA from 1 species